rnacentral:rRNA from 1 species
UCAGGCCUAACACAUGCAAGUCGAGCGGGGUUUUCGGACCUAGCGGCGGACGGGUGAGUAAUGCGUAGGAAGCUACCCGAUAGAGGGGGAUACCAGUUGGAAACGACUGUUAAUACCGCAUAAUGUCUACGGACCAAAGUGUGGGACCUUCGGGCCACAUGCUAUCGGAUGCGCCUACGUGGGAUUAGCUAGUUGGUGAGGUAAUGGCUCACCAAGGCGACGAUCUCUAGCUGGUUUGAGAGGAUGAUCAGCCACACUGGAACUGAGACACGGUCCAGACUCCUACGGGAGGCAGCAGUGGGGAAUAUUGGACAAUGGG